UUUCAUUUUUGUCUCGUAGCAUUAUUGGUAGUUUUAUUGUUUUCAGUGUUUUUGUUUUGUUUUUUUAAUAAGAUGUCAAUCGAAGCUAAAGAAAAGAAUGGUGCUACUUGUGUGACUUGGAAAACGUUACAAAGUCUCGCAUUUUCGAGCAGAGAAAUAAGUGAAACGUUCGAACUGAACACUCAAGGACGAAGCAACUUUUCCUUUAAAGUUUCAUUUACUCACUGCUUUAAGUUCAAUUGUUUAAGUUUAAAUACUGUUUGCAUUAAACUGUGCUUAUCGCUGAUCAAGUGCUCUACCAACACUAUUAGUUUGUGUGGAGGAAAAGACACCAUCUUUAAUUGUGACCAUAAUCUGCCUUGCUCUGUUUGGGUUACAAUCAACAAUGAUGAAGACAGAAGAAUAAAUUUGGAAAAAGCUGUUGGAUCAGACGAGUGGACUUCAAGAAAAUUUGGUAUCAGAACAUUUGGCUACCCAACCUUCCACUUUUGGUUGCAGUUCAGGACUGAUGAGAUUAACAAGUCCAGCAAAAUCAUCAUGAAACAGCUGACGGACGCCCAGCAAACACCAUUAGCCGAAGAUAAAGACAACGUGAAAGUUCCCAAGUCCAAGGAGUUCUGUCGUGGCAAGCUGAUUGCGCAGCAACUGGAGAAAGUGUUUGUCGAGCAAACGAACUGCGAUGUCGAAUUCUUGUUCGAAGACGAGGAGAAAAUCGGUGGCCAUAUCUCCAUCUUGGCUGCCAGAAGUCCCGUUUUCUCUGCCAUGUUUUACCACAACCUUCAAGAGUCCGAGACGGGCAAAAUCUUCGUCCAAGACAUCCGGCCACAGAUUUUCAAGGAGAUGCUUCACUAUAUUUACUCCGGCCAGACUUUGACUCCUUUGACGGACGCCAUCGCUCAACCUCUGUUCGUACUUUCAGUCAAAUACGAUAUCGAGGACCUGAAGGAGAAGUGCGUCCGUUAUCUGCUGAGAAGCGUUCGGACGAGUAAUGCCGUUGACUUAUUGGUCUGGGCAAAUCUUCAUUCGGUGGAGAAAAUCGAAGAAGCAGCUCUUGACUUUGUGGCCAGAAAUUUCAAAAUCAUUUGUCAGUCGAAUGAAUGGGAGAACCUGAUGAAGAACUAUCCGGAGCUUGGAUUCCUGGUGGCUCGACGUUAUGUAGCUGUUUAAGAAAUACGCCAGCCGAAGAGUUUUGUAUAACUUAAAAUGCGGUUCCAGCGUCACCGCCAAAAUCCACAUGUGUUCACGAUCCUCGCAAUAACAACACGUACACCAUGAUACUGGACACUUGAGCAAGUUGACUGCUUCGUGCAGAUUUGCUUUUUAUCGCACGGUCAGCUAGUAUGGCAUCCCUGAAUAGUGAUUUUCACGAAAUCUUUUCUUUUGGUGGUUCUUAUUGCCAAUCGAUAAUACGACGCGCUGAAAGUUAAUCACAUUAUAUUCUUGAGAAAUUAACAGGAUUUUUUGUACUAAAGUGUAAUGGUAACCAGUGACGUAGUUGUCCAUUUAGUCUAGUGUUAACAUUUUUACAACUUUUGAGAACUUAUUUUUAUUGACCGAGAAAAGAGGUUUCUAACAAGACUGUGUGCACAUCAUGAAAUGAAUCUAGAUUAAUCAUGUGUUUGAAUUUUGAAAUAUAGCUAAGGUUGCAGAGAAAUAUUU